GUACUGCCCACUGGUACGGUGGAUGGCCUUCAAAACCGU
rnacentral:tRNA from 11 species